UCCAGCGUAGCUCAGUGGUAGAGCGGGCGACUGUUAAUCGCCUGGUCGUAGGUUCGAAUCCUACCGCUGGAGCCA
rnacentral:tRNA from 1 species